GAGCGAGUUCAGACACACUUAAUUUGUUAAGCAAUUUAUAGCUAUUUGGCUGCUUUACACGCAGGGGGUCAUAGGUUCGAAUCCUAUACCGCCCACCA
rnacentral:tRNA from 1 species